rnacentral:rRNA from 1 species
GCCCUUCGGUUGAUCCUGCCGGAGGUUACUGCUAUCGGGGUCCGAUUAAGCCAUGCGAGUUGAGAGGGGUAAGCCCUCGGCAUACUGCUCAGUAACACGCGAACAACCUGCCCUUGGGUCUGGGAUAACCCCGGGAAACUGGGACUAAUACCGGAUAGAUCAGAGAUACUGGAAUGUUCUCUGGUCCAAAACUCCGGUGCCCAAGGAUGGGUCCGCGGCCUAUCAGGUAGUAGUGGGUGUAACGUACCUACUAGCCAGCGACGGGUAAGGGUUGUGAGAGCAAGAUCCCUGAGAUGGAUUCUGAGACAUGAAUCCAGGCCCUACGGGGUGCAGCAGGAGCCAAAACUUUACACUGCGGGAAUCCGCGAUAAGGGGACCCAGAGUGCCAGCACCUAUUGCUGGCUGUCCUACUGUCUAAAUAACAGUGGUUAGCAAGGGCCGGGCAAGACCGGUGCCAGUCGCCGCGGUAACACCGGCGGCCCGAGUGGUAACCGUCAUUAUUGGGUUUAAAGGGUCCGUAGCCGGCUUAUUAAGUCUUUUGGGAAAUCUGGCGACUCAAUCGUCAGGCGUCCAAGAGAUACUGGUAGGCUUGGGACCGGGAGAGGUGGGAGGUACUCCAGGGGUAGGGGUGAAAUCUCGUAAUCCUUGGGGGACCACCGAUGGCGAAGGCAUCCCACCAGAACGGGUCCGACGGUGAGGGACGAAAGCUGGGGGCACGAACCGGAUUAGAUACCCGGGUAGUCCCAGCUGUAAACGAUGCUCGCUAGGUGUCAGGUGCGGUGCGACCGCAUCUGGUGCCGCAGUGAAAACUUGAAGCGAGUCACCUGGGAAGUACGGUCGCAAGGCUGAAACUUAAAGGAAUUGGCGGGA